rnacentral:rRNA from 1 species
GACGAACGCUGGCGGCGGGCUUAACACAUGCAAGUCGAACGAAGUGGCGAACGGGUGAGUAACGCGUAAUCAACCUGCCCUUCAGAGGGGGACAACAGUUGGAAACGACUGCUAAAACCGCAUACUGAAGGAGGGGAUUGCGUCGGAUUUGGUAGUUGGAGGGGUAACGGCCCACCAGGGCGAAGAUCAGUAGCCGGGCUGGGAAGAUUAACGGCCAAAUCGGGACUGGAGCACGGCCCAAGCUCCUGAGGGGAGCAGCAGUGGGGAAUCUUCCGCAAUGGACGAAAGUCUUGCGGAGCCACGCCCCGUGGGUGAUGACGGCCUUCGGGUUGUUAAGCUCUGUUAAUCGGGACGCGGUACCGGAAUAGAAAGCCACGGCUAACUACGUGCCAGCAGCCGCGGUAAUAC